rnacentral:misc_RNA from 1 species
GAUAAGAACGUAGUGAAAUGCGAUAAGUAGUGUGAAUUGCAGAAUUCAGUGAAUCAUCGAAUCUUUGAACGCACAUUGCGCCCCUUGGUAUUCCAUGGGGCAUGCCUGUUCGAGCGUCAUUUGUACCUUCAAGCUCUGCUUGGUGUUGGGUGUUUGUCUCGCCUCUGCGUGUAGACUCGCCUCAAAACAAUUGGCAGCCGGCGUAUUGAUUUCGGAGCGCAGUACAUCUCGCGCUUUGCACUCAUAACGACGACGUCCAAAAGUACAUUUUUACACUCUUGACCUCGGAUCAGGUAGGGAUACCCGCUGAACUUAAGCAUAUCAAUAAGCGGAGGA